rnacentral:rRNA from 1 species
GAUUCUGGCUCAGGAUAAACGCUGGCGGCGUGCUUAACACAUGCAAGUCGAACGGAGUGGUCCUCCCGAAGCGUGACGAAGCUUGCUUCUGAACAAUUCAUUGGAUCACUUAGUGGCGGACGGGUGAGUAACGCGUGGGUAACCUGCCCUAUACUGGGGGAUAGCAGUUGGAAACGACUGAUAAUACCGCAUAAGCAUACACUUUCGCAUGAAAGAGUGUGAAAAACUCCGGUGGUAUAGGAUGGACCCGCGUCUGAUUAGCUAGUUGGUGAGGUAACGGCCCACCAAGGCGACGAUCAGUAGCCGGCCUGAGAGGGUGUACGGCCGCAUUGGGACUGAGACACGGCCCAAACUCCUACGGGAGGCAGCAGUGGGGAAUAUUGGACAAUGGGGGAAACCCUGAUCCAAGCGACGCCGCGUGAGCGAAGAAGUAUUUCGGUAUGUAAAGCUCUAUCAGCAGGGAAGAAAAUGACGGUACCUGACUAAGAAGCACCGGCUAAAUACGUGCCAGCCGCAGC